CGGGGGAGGCCGGAUCCUGGGCUGUGUCCCAGCGCCCUGGGCUCCGGGGUCUGUGUUGUUGGUUUCGCACUCCCGCCCCGCAGCCCCCU
rnacentral:pre_miRNA from 1 species